GAUGAACGCUGGCGGCGUGCCUAAUACAUGCAAGUCGAGCGAACAGACGAGGAGCUUGCUCCUCUGACGUUAGCGGCGGACGGGUGAGUAACACGUGGAUAACCUACCUAUAAGACUGGGAUAACUUCGGGAAACCGGAGCUAAUACCGGAUAAUAUAUUGAACCGCAUGGUUCAAUAGUGAAAGACGGUUUUGCUGUUACUUAUAGAUGGAUCCGAGCCGCAUUAGCUAGUUGGUAAGGUAACGGCUUACCAAGGCAACGAUGCGUAGCCGACCUGAGAGGGGGAUCGGCCACACUGGAACGGAGACACGGUCCAGACUCCUACGGGAGGCAGCAGAAGGGAAUCUUCCGCAAUGGGGGAAAGCCUGACGGAGCAACGCGGCGUGAGUGAUGAAGGUCUUCGGAUCGUAAAACUCUGUUAUUAGGGAAGAACAAAUGUGUAAGUAAAUAUGCACGUCUUGACGGUACCUAAUCAGAAAGCCACGGCUAACUACGUG
rnacentral:rRNA from 1 species